rnacentral:rRNA from 1 species
GAUGAACGCUGGCGGCGUGCCUAAUACAUGCAAGUCGAGCGAAAAGACGAGGAGCUUGCCUCUCUGACGUUAGCGGCGGACGGGUGAGUAACACGUGGAUAACCUACCUAUAAGACUGGGAUAACUUCGGGAAACCGGCGCUAAUACCGGAUAAUAUAUUGAACCGCAUGGUUCAAUAGUGAAAGACGGUUUUGCUGUCACUUAUAGAUGGAUCCGCGCCGCAUUAGCUGGUUGGUAAGGUAACGGCUUACCAAGGCAACGAUGCGUAGCCGACCUGAGAGGGUGAGCGGCCACACGAGGACUGAGACACGGACCAGACUCCGACGGGAGGCAGCAGUAGGGAAUCUGCCACAAUGGGCGAAAGCUUGACGGAGCAACGCCGCGUGAGGGAUGAAGGUCUUCGGGUCGUAAAACGCUGUUAUUAGGGAAGAACAAAUGUGUAAGUAACUAGGCACGUCUUGACGGUACCUAAACAAAAAGCCACGGCUAACUACGUG